rnacentral:lncRNA from 1 species
GCCAGUUGUGCUUGACAAGAUAUAAGUUGUUUCAACAUCUCUUCCAUAUUGCUAGUCUGAGUUGUUGCCAGAUUGCCUUAACCCUGUGGCUAUUGAAAUUAUUGUUGUUAGUUGUUCCAUGAUAAAUUUGGUGGCUGAGUCUACCACUUUAGAUUGUAAGCAUUUCCAUAAUUUGGCCUUUGAACAUUUCCCACAAACAUCACCAACUUGAGAUUAGAAGCACACAUAUCUGUAUAAUGGACACUAUAAAAACUAACCAUGCACCAAGUACUUG